UUCUUUCCUUCUACUAACUUUAGGUCUUGUCUGUUCUCUCUCGAGCUGCUUUAGAUAUAAAGUUAGCUUGUUUAUUUUGAGCUUUUUAUUUUUUCCUGAGGUGGGCUUGUAUUGCUAUAAACUUUCCUCUUAGAAUGGCUUUUGCUGCAUCCCAUAGGUUUUGGAGUGUCAUAUAUUCGUUGUCAUUUGCUUCUAGGUAUUUUUAAUUUCCUCUUUGAUUUCUUCAGUGAUCCAUUGGUUGGAUCUAGAGGUGAUGUUUUUGGUAAACAGGCGGGGUUUGUGUUUGCCGAGUUCCUUUUACUUCUUUUAAUCUUUCCUUAGUGCACUCCUGUGUUGGGUUAACAAUAUAAUUAAUAAACGUUUUAGUGUUAUUUUGGUUUAUUGGUUGUUAAUUAUCAGUAUAUUAUUAGUUACUGAUGUAAGCGUGUGCAAGGAGAAAGGCUUCUUGUUACUCAUAUUAACAUUAUUGCUUCUAUUUUGUUCUUUCAUCUUUCCCUUACGGUACUAUCUCUAUAGCGUCAAGAUAAAAAUUUCUAUCUCCUAUACUUUAAUGUCAGGUAAAUGUUUUAUUUUAUUUUAGUGUAGUUUUUGUGUUUAUUUAGUAUGUUGAGCUAGCUUUAGUUCAAAGCACCCAUAUAUUGUGGGAUCUUCUAGGUGUAAACUAGGUACUUUAGUUUAAGCUAUGCUUUGGUAAUCCAAGCACACUUUCCAGUAUGCUUACCUUGUUACGACUUGUCUCCUCUUGCAUGAUUAUGUAAUUAAAUAUAGGUUAUUUUGUAUUACUAUAUGCUUGAGGAGGGUGACGGGCGGUGUGUGCGUACUUCAUGGCCUUAUUCAAUCAAGCACUCUACUCUUGAUUUACUGCUAAAUCCUCCUUUGGUUUUUAGUUUCAUAAAAACUUUCGUACGGUGAAUAUUCUUAUGCAGAAAAUGUAGCCCAUUUCUUUCCAACUCAUAAGCUACACCUUGACCUAACGUUUUUAUGUGUUAUGAUUGUGCUUACUAUUGUUCCUUUUAGGGUUUGCUGAAGAUGGCGGUAUAUAGGCUGAAUUGGCAAGAGUUGGUAAGGUCUAUCGGGGUUUAUCGAUUAUAGAACAGGCUCCUCUAGGUGAUGUGAAGCACCGCCAAGUCCUUUGAGUUUUAGGCUGUUGCGAGUAGUACUCUGGCGAAUAGUUUUGUUAUAUAACUAUUUGGGCAUGUUGUUGAGUCUCCAUGUGUUUGUGUUUUUUGCAGUUUUUUUCUUGUUGAUUUCUGGUCGUAUAACAUUGUGGUCAGAAAAGAUGCUUGAUAUGAUUUCAAUUUUCUUAAUGUUACUGAGCUUGGACUUGUAGCUCAGGAUGUUAUCAAUCUUAG
rnacentral:lncRNA from 1 species